rnacentral:rRNA from 1 species
GACGAACGCUGGCGGCGUGCUUAACACAUGCAAGUCGAACGGAAAGGCCCUGCGUUUGUGGGGUGCUCGAGUGGCGAACGGGGGAGUAACACGUGAGUAACCUGCCCUUGACUUUGGGAUAACUUCAGGAAACUGGGGCUAAUACCGGAUAGGAGCUCCUGCUGCGUGGGGGGGGUUGGAAAGUUUCGGCGGUUGGGGAUGGACUAGCGGCUUAUCAGCUUGUUGGUGGGGUAGUGGCUUACCAAGGCUUUGACGGGUAGCCGGCCUGAGAGGGUGACCGGGCACAAUGGGACUGCGAUACGGCCCAGACUCCUACGGGAGGCAGCAGUGGAGAAUAUUGCACAGUGGGCGGAAGCCUGAUGCAGCGACGCCGCGUUCGUGAUGCCGGCCUUCGGGUUGUAAACCGCUUUCGCCUGUGACGAAGCGUGAGUGACGGUAAUGGGUAAAGAAGCACCGGCUAACUACGUG